AUGGUGCUGCUGAUGCAAAGUCAUGCUCUAUGGAAAUCUGCUGACUCACUCCAGCAGGAUCAUGGCUCAUUUGUAUCACUGUGGUACACGUUUGGUGGAGGAACCAGACUGGAGUUAGGAAGUGAUAUUUGUACCUCCCUGAUGGUGCUGCUUCCCUCCAGAAGGGAGCUGUUCCAGGGUAAUGCAACAGUUACAUGUCUGGCCACCAAGGGCUUCCCCUCAGACUGGAGUCUGUCCUGGAAGGUGGACGGCAGCAGCAGCAGCUGGGAGGAGGACAGGAGCCCCGUGGUGAUGAAGGACGGCCUCUACAGCUGGAGCAGCACCCUGAGGCUCACUGCAGACCAGUGGAGGAAGGUGGGCUCUGUGACCUGUGAGGCCACCCAGGGCUCCCAGUCUCCAGUCUCAGAGUCACUCAGGAGAGACCAGUGUUCCCAGUGAAAAUAGGCUCACUGGACCUUUUCCCAUCAUUUUUUUCUUUUGCAAAUUUUGUCAUUGUCUGUAUUUUUGAUUGAUGUUUCCCAGAAUUAAACAGUUUCUUAUUUCAAAAUC